GGGGAUUAGUGGCGAACGGGUGAGUAACACGUGAGUAACCUGCCCUUAACUCUGGGAUAAGCCUUGGAAACGGGGUCUAAUACUGGAUAUUGACUUUACCUCGCAUGGGGUUUUGUUGAAAGAUUUAUUGGUUUUGGAUGGACUCGCGGCCUAUCAGCUUGUUGGUGAGGUAAUGGCUCACCAAGGCGACGACGGGUAGCCGGCCUGAGAGGGUGACCGGCCACACUGGGACUGAGACACGGCCCAGACUCCUACGGGAGGCAGCAGUGGGGAAUAUUGCACAAUGGGCGAAAGCCUGAUGCAGCGACGCCGCGUGAGGGAUGACGGCCUUCGGGUUGUAAACCUCUUUCAGUAGGGAACAAGGCCAGCAUUUUUGUUGGUUGAGGGUACUUGCAGAAGAAGCGCCGGCUAACUACGUGCCAGCAGCCGCGGUAAUACGUAGGGCGCAAGCGUUAUCCGGAAUUAUUGGGCGUAAAGAGCUCGUAGGCGGUUUGUCGCGUCUGCCGUGAAAGUCCGGGGCUCAACCCCGGAUCUGCGGUGGGUACGGGCAGACUAGAGUGAUGUAGGGGAGACUGGAAUUCCUGGUGUAGCGGUGAAAUGCGCAGAUAUCAGGAGGAACACCGAUGGCGAAGGCAGGUCUCUGGGCAUUAACUGACGCUGAGGAGCGAAAGCAUGGGGAGCGAACAGGAUUAGAUACCCUGGUAGUCCAUGCCGUAAACGUUGGGCACUAGGUGUGGGGGACAUUCCACGUUUUCCGCGCCGUAGCUAACGCAUUAAGUGCCCCGCCUGGGGAGUACGGCCGCAAGGCUAAAACUCAAAGGAAUUGACGGGGGCCCGCACAAGCGGCGGAGCAUGCGGAUUAAUUCGAUGCAACGCGAAGAACCUUACCAAGGCUUGACAUGAACUGGAAAUACCUGGAAACAGGUGCCCCGCUUGCGGUCGGUUUACAGGUGGUGCAUGGUUGUCGUCAGCUCGUGUCGUGAGAUGUUGGGUUAAGUCCCGCAACGAGCGCAACCCUCGUUCUAUGUUGCCAGCACGUUAUGGUG
rnacentral:rRNA from 1 species